GACGAACGCUGGCGGCGUGCUUAACACAUGCAAGUCGAACGGAAAGGCCCAGCUUGCUGGGUGCUCGAGUGGCGAACGGGUGAGUAACACGUGGGUGAUCUGCCCCUAACUUCGGGAUAAGCUUGGGAAACUGGGUCUAAUACCGGAUAAGACAAUCGUUUAGUGUCGGUUGUGGAAAGUUUUUUCGGUUAGGGAUGAGCCCGCGGCCUAUCAGCUUGUUGGUGGGGUAAUGGCCUACCAAGGCGUCGACGGGUAGCCGGCCUGAGAGGGUGGACGGCCACAUUGGGACUGAGAUACGGCCCAGACUCCUACGGGAGGCAGCAGUGGGGAAUAUUGCACAAUGGGCGCAAGCCUGAUGCAGCGACGCCGCGUGGGGGAUGACGGCCUUCGGGUUGUAAACCUCUUUCGACAGGGACGAAGCUUUGGUGACGGUACCUGUAUAAGAAGCACCGGCUAACUACGUG
rnacentral:rRNA from 1 species